rnacentral:tRNA from 1 species
GGGCUUGUAGCUCAGGUGGUUAGAGCGCUACGCUGAUAACGUAGAGGUCGCAGGUUCGAAUCCUGUCAGGCCCA